GAUGAACGCUGGCGGCGUGCCUAAUACAUGCAAGUCGAGCGAACAGACGAGGAGCUUGCUCCUCUGACGUUAGCGGCGGACGGGUGAGUAACACGUGGAUAACCUACCUAUAAGACUGGGAUAACUUCGGGAAACCGGAGCUAAUACCGGAUAAUAUAUUGAACCGCAUGGUUCAAUAGUGGAAGACGGUUUUGCUGUUACUUAUAGAUGGAUCCGCGCCGCAUUAGCUAGUUGGUAGGGUAACGGCUUACCAAGGCGACGAUGCGUAGCCGACCUGAGAGGGUGGUAGGCCACACUGGAACUGAGACAGGGUCCAGAGGCCUACGGGAGGCAGCAGUAGGGAAUGUUAGGCAAAGGGCGAAAGCCUGACGGAGCAAGGCCGCGUGAGUGAUGAAGGUCCUCGGAUCGUAAAACUCUGUUAUUAGGGAAGAACAAAUGUGUAAGUAAAUAUGCACGUCGUGACGGUAACUAAUAAGAAAGCCACGGCUAACUACGUG
rnacentral:rRNA from 1 species